rnacentral:rRNA from 1 species
UACAGAGGUCGCGAGCGUUAAUCGGAUUUACUGGGCGUAAAGCGUGUGUAGGUGGUUGUUCAAGUCGGUUGUGAAAUCCCCGGGCUCAACCUGGGAACUGCUUCCGAGACUGAGCGACUAGAGAUCGGUAGAGGGCGGUGGAAUUUCCGGUGUAGCGGUGAAAUGCGUAGAUAUCGGGAGGAACACCAGUGGCGAAGGCGACUUCCUGGCCUGUUCUUGACGCUGAGGCGCGAAAGCUAGGGUAGCAAACGGGG